rnacentral:lncRNA from 1 species
ACAAUAAACUCUUAUGGAAGGUGAGAAAGCAUUCCUAGCUGGAGGAAAAAAAAAAAAAAAAAAGAGAGAAGGAAAAGAAAAAACGAAGGGACCCAUAACGAAGAGCUGGCCAGUAAUUUAACUCAAGAUUCCAGAUCGCCUCCUUGCUCUGUGAAAUAUUUGCUAACACAGGGUGCUGCGUCUUCUUAGGUGGCAUGCAUGCAAAUCUCCACUUUGCUGCUGUUUCUCCUCCCUGGAAAGCAUCCCAAAUGACUGAGGCAGAAACAGCUCCUCCAAACACGCCAAGCCACGACUAGAACACUUGUUUCAAGCGCCAGAUUCCCAAGCAGAGUCCCUCGACCCAAAAAGACAGCAGCUCGAUAGGAUUCACGGGCCUGUAAGUCUUUUGCUGUUUCCACUGCAUCUAGACCCGGGCUUCUCGCUGCGGGUAUUUGGGGCCAGGCCCCUCUUUGCUGUAUGGGGCCAUCCUGUGCCGUCAGCAGCGUCCCUGGUCCCUACCCACCAGAUGCCAGGGUGGCCCCCUUCCCCUCCCAGUGGGGACGAUCAAAAAAUUCUCCAAAUAAUGCCAAAUUUGCCCUGGCAAGUGAAAACCACUGAGAAUGACUGUUCCAGAUCUUGAGGACAGGAAAAUCAAGAAAGCCCUUCACCUUUUUUCCCCCCACACACCCCCCACCCCAGCACUAAAUAUGGUUAAUUCAAGCCCGUAGGCUAAAUAGUCAAAAUUGCCUAAGGUUUCUCACCAUUUCUUUUCUUCUUUUACUUUUUUUAAAAGAGGAAUCUUGAAGCUAAACUACACCAAAAACAUCAGACAUAAAAUUAAUAAUAGGAUACAAAUGGUUAAUCAAUAAAAUUCUGACUUUCUGAAGCA